GCGCACCAGUCGAGAAACCUUCGCAAUGCAGGAAACUGCGACGAGGGAACUCCAAGUGCCUACGCUCAGCGUAGGCUGUUCUCAAGCCUAGAAAGCUUGAGGAGUAAGGGCUGGGUAAGACGGGUGCCAUCUGUGGUAGCAGUCAAUAGAUUCGAUUUGUUACUGCAAGGCAUAAGCCGCCGCGGUAAUACCCGCAGCCCAAGUGGUGGCCGCUUUUAUUGGGCCUAAAGCGUCCGUAGCCGGCCCGGUAAGUGCCUGGGGUAAAUCGUGGAGCCCAACUUCACGAAUUCCGGGUAGACUGCCGAGCUCGGGACCGGAAGAGGGAGAGGGUACGUUCAGGGGUAGGGGUGAAAAUUUCCGUUUCCAUUAACGCUUUUGCGCGAAGCGG
rnacentral:rRNA from 1 species